rnacentral:rRNA from 1 species
GACGAACGCUGGCGGCGUGCUUAACACAUGCAAGUCGAACGGACAGGCCCUGCUUGCAGGGUACUCGAGUGGCGAACGGGCGAGUAACACGUGGGUGAUCUGCCCUGCACUUCGGGAUAAGCCUGGGAAACUGGGUCUAAUACCGGAUAGGAGCCAUUUUUAGUGUGAUGGUUGGAAAGUUUUUUCGGUCUAGGAUGAGCUCGCGGCCUAUCAGCUUGUUGGUGGGGUAAUGGCCUACCAAGGCGGCGACGGGUAGCCGGCCGGAGAGGGUGGACGGCCAUAGUGGGACUGAGAGACGGCCCAGACUCCGACGGGAGGCAGCAGUGGGGAAUAUUGCACCAUGGGCGCAAGCCUGAUGCAGCGACGCCGCGUGGGGGAGGACGGCCUUCGGGUUGUAAACUCCUUUCGCCAGGGACGAAGCUUUUUGUGACGGUACCUAGAUAAGAAGCACCGGCUAACUACGUG